AGAGUUUGAUCCUGGCUCAGGACGAACGCUGGCGGCACGCUUAACACAUGCAAGUCGAACGCCCUCGACCUUCGGGUCAUAUGGGGGAGUGGCGAACGGGUGAGUAACACGUGAGAAACCUGCCUCGAAGAUUGGGACAACCACUGGAAACGGUGGCUAAUACCGAAUACCUUCCUACCGUCGCAUGGCGGUUUGAAGAAACGCUCCGGCGCUUUGAGAGGGUCUCGCGGCCUAUCAGCUAGUUGGUGAGGUAAUGGCUCACCAAGGCAUCGACGGGUAGCUGGUCUGAGAGGACGAUCAGCCACACUGGGACUGAGACACGGCCCAGACUCCUACGGGAGGCAGCAGUGGGGAAUCUUGCGCAAUGGGCGAAAGCCUGACGCAGCGAUGCCGCGUGGGGGAUGAAGGCUCUCGGGUCGUAAACCCCUUUCAGCAGGGACGAAAAUGACGGUACCUGCAGAAGAAGCCCCGGCCAACUACGUGCCAGCAGCCGCGGUAAUAAGGGCGA
rnacentral:rRNA from 1 species